GCCUGGGUGGCUCAGUCGGUUGAGCAUCCGACUUCAGCUCAGGUCAUGAUCUCGUGGUCUGUGAGUUCGAGCCCCACGUCGGGCU
rnacentral:tRNA from 1 species